rnacentral:rRNA from 1 species
UACGAAGGGGGCUAGCGUUGUUCGGAAUUACUGGGCGUAAAGCGUGCGCAGGCGGCUUGCCAAGUCAGAUGUGAAAGCCCCGGGCUCAACCCGGGAACGGCGUUUGAAACUGGCAGGCUAGAGUUUGGCAGAGGGGGGUGGGAAUUCCACGUGUAGCAGUGAAAUGCGUAGAGAUGUGGAGGAACACCGAUGGCGAAGGCAGCCCCCUGGGCCAAAACCUGACGCUCAGGCACGAAAGCGUGGGAGCGAAACAAGGUGUAA